UGCGUAGGGUGCAAGCGUUGUCCGGAAUUAUUGGGCGUAAAGAGCUCGUAGGCGGUUUGUCGCGUCUGCCGUGAAAGUCCGGGGCUCAACUCCGGAUCUGCGGUGGGUACGGGCAGACUAGAGUGAUGUAGGGGAGACUGGAAUUCCUGGUGUAGCGGUGAAAUGCGCAGAUAUCAGGAGGAACACCGAUGGCGAAGGCAGGUCUCUGGGCAUUAACUGACGCUGAGGAGCGAAAGCAUGGGGAGCGAACAG
rnacentral:rRNA from 1 species